rnacentral:lncRNA from 1 species
AUAAUGCCAACGCUAAUCCCGUGCAGCAGUUGGUUAACUUACUGACUGGAGCCAUGAAUAAUCAACCGCAAGCUCCACCAAACACAACGUUUAAAGACUUCAAGGCGGUGGGACCGCCAGAGUUCAAAGGUUCCAUGAACCCAAUCGAGGCUCAAACGUGGGUUAUGGAAAUGGAGAAGGUUUUCGACGUUGCUAGGGUUAGAG